rnacentral:miRNA from 1 species
UUGGUGUUUGUGAACCUUUGA